GAUGAAGAACGUAGCGAAAUGCGAUACGUAAUGUGAAUUGCAGAAUUCAGUGAAUCAUCGAAUCUUUGAACGCACAUUGCGGCCAUAGGUAUUCCUUUGGCCAUGCCUGUUCGAGCGUCAUUUACACCCUCAAGCCUAGCUUGGUGUUGGGCGUCUGUCCCGCCGUUCUCGCGCGCGGACUCGCCUCAAAGUCAUUGGCGGCGGUCGUGCCGGCCCCCUCGCGCAGCACAUUUGCGCUUCUCGGAGGCCCGGCGGAUCCGCGCUCCAGCAAGACCUUUCACGACUUGACCUCGGAUCAGGUAGGGAUACCCGCUGAACUUAAGCAUAUCAUAGCGGAGGA
rnacentral:misc_RNA from 1 species